rnacentral:rRNA from 1 species
CCUACGGGCGGCAGCAGUGGGGAAUAUUGCACAAUGGGGGGAACCCUGAUGCAGCAACGCCGCGUGGGUGAAGAAGUACUCCGGUAUGUAAAGCCCUGUCAGCAGGGAAGAAAAUGACGGUACCUGACCAAGAAGCCCCGGCUAACUACGUGCCAGCAGCCGCGGUAAUACGUAGGGGGCAAGCGUUAUCCGGAUUUACUGGGUGUAAAGGGAGCGUAGACGGCAAGGCAAGUCUGGAGUGAAAGCCCGUGGCCCAACCACGGGACUGCUUUGGAAACUGUGUUGCUGGAGUGCAGGAGGGGUAAGCGGAAUUCCUAGUGUAGCGGUGAAAUGCGUAGAUAUUAGGAGGAACCCCGAUUGCGAAGGCAGCCUGCCAAGCCAUGACUGACGCUGAUGCACGAAAGCGUGGGGAUCAAACAGGAUUAGAUACCCGAGUAGUC